UCAGUUAUUAGUUUUAUUUACUACUCAAUUAAAUUUAAUAAGCCUAUUCUCUCAGUGUAAUCACAUGGAAUGCGCUCAACUCCCCAGUUAACAAGUGACAGCACAUGUAAAAUAUUGUCUACCAGGGAAACUCAUUGAACACUUAGUGUUCAGACUGUGUUUUGGUGUCUAGUUCGUAAGCACCACUGCAGUGACACAAAAUAAUAGACCUUCAGCAGAAAAAGUUUUGGCAAAUAUAUUGCAUAAGCCAUUUAGAUGCAGUGAGUCAUUCUUAUUACUUGGGUUGGUGGAAUCCCUUUCAAAAUGUAAGUUACUAAUACAAACAAAGAUUGAACUUUGUGAGCAGGCAUUUUUAAGGGUAAGUAGUCUCAGGACUGAUAAUAUUAACUCACUUAUGCACAUCAGGUAGGACUUUAUUAUGACAGAUACUAGAAAUGUACAAAGUGAAGUUAAAAGGUAACUCCUAGCAGCACAUCUUACUCCCUGGAUUCUCUAAUGAGAUGGGUGUUUCUACUUUGCUGUUGCCUUUUUGAAUAGUUCAAUUCUAGCAUUAGUACUGCUGUGUGGGAGGGAGUAUGUGUGAACAGAGUAAGAGUUGUGACAAUCAAGUCAUAGAAUAAAUGCUUGGAAAUUUUAGAAUCAUGUAAACAGCUUAUGAAUUGAGUAUAGAUUCCCAGUGCUGUCAGUCUCACCCAUCCUUCUAUCCAUAUGUGUGGAAUGUUCUAGGACUCCAUGGCUUUUGAGGAUGUGGCUGUGAACUUUAAGAGGAAUGGACUUUGCUAGAUUCUUCUCAGAAGAAUCUCUGUAGAGAAGUGAUGCAGGAAACCUGCAGGAACCUGGCUUCUGUAGGAAACAAAUGAAAAGACCAGAAUAUUGAAGAUCACUUCGAAAAACCUGGGAAAGAUAUAAGAUAAUUUGCACUGAGAAGAGGAAGUAAAGUCCUCUGAAGGAAUCUUAGUAUGUCAUGAACUUAAAAACAAGCAAUCAAAGCAAAAAUCAUAUGUUACAGAGACUGUGUGAAAGCAAAGAAGGUAGUCAGUAUGGACAAGUUGUCAGCCAAAUUCCAAAUCUUGAUCUGAAUGAGAACAUUUCUACUGGAUUAAAGCAAUGUGAAUGCAGUAUUUGUGGAAAAGUCUUUGUACGUCAUUCCCUUCUUAACAGGCACUCCUAGCUCGCUCAGGAUACAAACCAUAUGGAGAGAAGCAAUAUAAAUGUGAACAGUGUGGGAAACUCUCCGUUUCUGUUCCAGGUGCUAGAAGACACAAGAUAAUGCACAGUGGAAAUCCAGCUUAUAAAUGUACAAUAUGUGGGAAAGCUUUUUAUUUUCUCAAUUCAGUUGAAAGACAUCAGAGAACUCACACAGGAGAAAAACUCCAUAAAUGUAAACAAUGUGGUAAAGUGUUCACUGUUUCCGGUUCUUGUCUAAUACAUGAACGAACUCACACUGGAGAGAAACCCUAUGAAUGUAAGGAAUGUGGGAAAACAUUCAGAUUUUCUUGUUCUUUUAAGACGCAUGAAAGGAUUCACGCUGGAGAAAGACCCUAUAAAUGUACCACAUGUGAUAAAGCCUUCAGCUGUUCCACUUCCCUUCAUUACCAUGGAAGCAUUCAUACUGGAGAGAGACCCUAUGAAUGUAAACAAUGUGGCAAAGCCUUUAGUCGUUUGAGUUCCCUUUGUAACCAUAGAAGUACUCAUACUGGAG